AACGAAACAAACAAAUUAGCUGACGGGUGGGCAGGUUUCAAUCUUGGUUGCUCACCUGUAUGUGAUCCUUGGGGUGUGCAGGUAGAGAACAAGGCUCAACACAGUACGAACAUGGCUGGGGAAAAAAAUGCGAUAACCGGGAUGUUUACCAGAGGCCGGGCAGUGGGAAAGCAGACAGCCACAUGCAGAUCAGUUUCUUAUCGGACAAGGGUGGCCCUGCACCUGCCGGCCAUGUAACCCCUGCUGGGUCCCCAGCGGAACAUGAAUCUGCGGAAGGUUUCCCUGUUUUCCUGUCAUCUCUCUGACGCCGUCAAACCUCCCCUCUCACUUGCUGUCUAUCUUGAUGUGCGCUUGUAUAUCUAUGUGCAGUGCUGCGACAAACACCGUAUGUGCUCAGCCUAAGAAUCCCCAUCCACACAUCCCCUCCCCUUCCUCCUCCUCCUCCUCCUCCUCCUCCUACCCUGCUCCUUCUUUCCCUCUAUCUCUCCCUCUUUCCUAUCACAUUUCUCACAGUAUUUACAUCCUUGUUUAGUGUCACAUUCUUGGGGUCAAACCAAAGUGCCGUCGCCUCAGGCUGGCUCCCAGGCUUGUGUAUCAUUGUGUUUGCUGAUCACUUUCACUGCCUAUCAUAGUCCCACACUUUUCCUGCCUUAUUUAUUUUUUUAUUUGUUAUAAUAAAACACCCAGUAGUGCUUGUACAAGCAGCUUGAUCUGGAAUAAUAUGUAAAUAGAGAGGAGUACUGGUUGAUUUGCUGCUCUACCCCUUCAUCUCCCGCUUCCUCCUCUGCCUCUUUCACUUCCUGGAGUCCCCCCCCCCGCCCGCCCGCCCGCAUGUGAAUCUCUCCCCACUCUCUCAAAUUCCACCGCUCUCUUCCUUGGAACCGUCCCAAAAUCUCAUCGUGUCAAAAUGCAUUAUGAACAUCAAAACAUUUCUGUUUACAACAUCGCAGUCGUGUCAAUUAAAUCUGAUAAAUUAUUCAAACAUUUAUCUUCCCCCACUAUGCCUGGGGAAUUUUUAAUCAAGCUUCUUAUUUGCUUUAAAUUAGCACUGUCAAGUGUGCAUUUGUGUAAAAUCCCUGGUAUCAUUAAAGAUUUAUCAAUUGGAAAUCUGUUUGGGUUGAUUUUACUGUUAAUUGGCUAGGAGGCGUGCUGUGGCUCUACACUCAUCUGCAACAAGUGCCUGCGAGUUGUGUUAGAGCAGCAGAGAACAAAGAUCAGAUUCCUUACACAGCCGCAUUAGUGAAAUCUACAACUGCUGCAAAACUAUUAUACACCAAACUCAACUGACUGGAUCUGUCAUUCAAGCUGAAUAUUCUCAAACAGUUUGCCAGAAUUUAUCUUUAAUGAAAACCUCAUUUAGUCCUCAGUUAAAACUGUAAUAUUUCCUACUCGAGGUCUAUAUCACCCUGUUUGUAGAGGAGGUAACACAUUUACACUGCAUCUUAUGAAUACUUGGUGUGAAGACAGGCUUGUUGGAGAUUUCUAAGACUGCUGGUUUUAAAAUGUUUUAAUAUUUUUGAAUGUAUUAACAAUGAAAAUUUUAAUUUAUUACAUUAAUGACAUUACAUUUAAAUAUAUGUUUAUCUUGUA